GAUGAACGCUGGCGGCGUGCCUAACACAUGCAAGUCGAACGGAGUCCAGCCUUUAAGACCUUCGGGUCAAAGAGGGGAAGACUGAGUGGCGGACGGGUGAGUAACACGUGGGCAACCUGGCUCAUAGAGGGGGAUAACAGAGAGAAAUUUCUGCUAAUACCGCAUAGGCCCACCCUGCCCCAUGGCGGGGGGUGAAAAGAGAAUCGCUAUGAGAUGGACCCGCGUCUGAUUAGCCAGUUGGCAGGGUAAGAGCCUACCAAAGCGACGAUCAGUAGCCGAUCUGAGAGGAUGAACGGCCACAUUGGGACUGAGACACGGCCCAAACUCCUACGGGAGGCAGCAGUGGGGGAUAUUGCACAAUGGGGGGAACCCUGAUGCAGCGACGCCGCGUGAGUGAAGAAGUAUUUCGGUAUGUAAAGCUCUAUCAGCAGGGAAGAUAAUGACAGUACCUGAAGAAGAAGCCCCGGCUAACUACGUG
rnacentral:rRNA from 1 species